rnacentral:rRNA from 1 species
AUUGAACGCUGGCGGCAUGCUUUACACAUGCAAGUCGAACGGUAACAGGGAGCUUGCUCCGCUGACGAGUGGCGAACGGGUGAGUAAUGCGUCGGAACGUGCCGAGUAGUGGGGGAUAACGCAGCGAAAGUUGUGCUAAUACCGCAUACGUACAGAGGUAGAAAGUGGGGGACCUUCGGGCCUCACCCUAUUCGAGCGGCCGACGUCUGAUUAGCUGGUGGGUGAGGUAAAGGCUCACCUAGGCGACGAUCAGUAGCGGGUCUGAGAGGAUGAUCCGCCACACUGGGACUGAGACACGGCCCAGACUCCUACGGGAGGCAGCAGUGGGGAAUUUUGGACAAUGGGCGAAAGCCUGAUCCAGCCAUGCCGCGUGUCUGAAGAAGGCCUUCGGGUUGUAAAGGACUUUUGUCGGGGAGGAAAUCCCCAGCGCUAAUACCGCUGGGGGAUGACAGUACCUGAAGAAUAAGCACCGGCUAACUACGUGCCAGCCGCCGCAGUAA